AUUGAAACCUUGUUACCUAAACCCAUACUUUUAUGUCCUGUGUAAUGUAGGUGUGACCAUGGUAACAUAUGUUCUUCUCGGGGAAUAUGAAAUAGAUCAUACUUGCUCAAGAAUCUUCGGUCUAGUUGAUUCACUUCAGGCAAUUGAUUCCGUGCUGCGAACUCCGAAGCCGCUUGGAUUGAGUCCCUCUGCAUCAUUUAAAAGACUUUCAAUACGACCUACAUAUAGAGAACAAGAAUGCCUGUAACUGUUUUACUACAGUGAUUGAUAUUGCUGCUUGCAAUUGCUUGAAUUUUUCUUUGUAUUGUUGACCUUGAUUUGCAUGUUGUUUUUGUCAGUGCUCAGUGAUUACGAUUCACUUGCCUUAUUGGUUGAAGUCCUACUUUUGGAA